CGGUUAAGUUAGAAAGGGCGCACGGUGGAUGCCUUGGCACUAGGAGCCGAUGAAGGACGGGACGAACACCGAUAUGCUUCGGGGAGCUGUAAGCAAGCUUUGAUCCGGAGAUUUCCGAAUGGGGAAACCCACCACUCGUAAUGGAGUGGUAUCCAUAUCUGAAUACAUAGGAUAUGAGAAGGCAGACCCGGGGAACUGAAACAUCUAAGUACCCGGAGGAAGAGAAAGCAAAUGCGAUUCCCUGAGUAGCGGCGAGCGAAACGGGACCAGCCCAAACCAAGAGGCUUGCCUCUUGGGGUUGUAGGACACUCUGUACGGAGUUACAAAGGAACGAGGUAGAUGAAGAGGUCUGGAAAGGCCCGCCAUAGGAGGUAACAGCCCUGUAGUCAAAACUUCGUUCUCUCCUGAGUGGAUCCUGAGUACGGCGGAACACGUGAAAUUCCGUCGGAAUCCGGGAGGACCAUCUCCCAAGGCUAAAUACUCCCUAGUGACCGAUAGUGAACCAGUACCGUGAGGGAAAGGUGAAAAGCACCCCGGAAGGGGAGUGAAAGAGAUCCUGAAACCGUGUGCCUACAAGUAGUCAGAGCCCGUUAACGGGUGAUGGCGUGCCUUUUGUAGAAUGAACCGGCGAGUUACGAUCCCGUGCAAGGUUAAGCAGAAGAUGCGGAGCCGCAGCGAAAGCGAGUCUGAAUAGGGCGAAUUGAGUACGUGGUCGUAGACCCGAAACCAGGUGAUCUACCCAUGUCCAGGGUGAAGUUCAGGUAACACUGAAUGGAGGCCCGAACCCACGCACGUUGAAAAGUGCGGGGAUGAGGUGUGGGUAGGGGUGAAAUGCCAAUCGAACCUGGAGAUAGCUGGUUCUCUCCGAAAUAGCUUUAGGGCUAGCCUCAAGGUAAGAGUCUCGGAGGUAGAGCACUGAUUGGACUAGGGGCCCCUACCGGGUUACCGAAUUCAGUCAAACUCCGAAUGCCGAUGACUUAUCCUUGGGAGUCAGACUGCGAGUGAUAAGAUCCGUAGUCGAAAGGGAAACAGCCCAGACCGCCAGCUAAGGUCCCAAAGUAUACGUUAAGUGGAAAAGGAUGUGGAGUUGCUUAGACAACCAGGAUGUUGGCUUAGAAGCAGCCACCAUUUAAAGAGUGCGUAAUAGCUCACUGGUCGAGUGACUCUGCGCCGAAAAUGUACCGGGGCUAAACGUAUCACCGAAGCUGCGGACUGUUCUUCGAACAGUGGUAGGAGAGCGUUCUAAGGGCUGUGAAGCAAGACCGGAAGGACUUGUGGAGCGCUUAGAAGUGAGAAUGCCGGUAUGAGUAGCGAAAGAGGGGUGAGAAUCCCCUCCACCGAAUGCCUAAGGUUUCCUGAGGAAGGCUCGUCCGCUCAGGGUUAGUCGGGACCUAAGCCGAGGCCGAAAGGCGUAGGCGAUGGAUAACAGGUUGAUAUUCCUGUACCACCUCCUCACCAUUUGAGCAAUGGGGGGACGCAGGAGGAUAGGGUAAGCGCGGUAUUGGAUAUCCGCGUCCAAGCAGUUAGGCUGGGAAAUAGGCAAAUCCGUUUCCCGUGAAGGCUGAGCUGUGAUGGCGAGCGAAUUAUAGUAGCGAAGUUCCUGAUUCCACACUGCCAAGAAAAGCCUCUAGCGAGGUGAGAGGUGCCCGUACCGCAAACCGACACAGGUAGGCGAGGAGAGAAUCCUAAGGUGAUCGAGAGAACUCUCGUUAAGGAACUCGGCAAAAUGACCCCGUAACUUCGGGAGAAGGGGUGCUCUGUUAGGGUGCAAGCCCGAGAGAGCCGCAGUGAAUAGGCCCAGGCGACUGUUUAGCAAAAACACAGGUCUCUGCGAAGCCGUAAGGCGAAGUAUAGGGGCUGACGCCUGCCCGGUGCUGGAAGGUUAAGAGGAGCGCUUAGCGUAAGCGAAGGUGCGAAUUGAAGCCCCAGUAAACGGCGGCCGUAACUAUAACGGUCCUAAGGUAGCGAAAUUCCUUGUCGGGUAAGUUCCGACCCGCACGAAAGGCGCAACGAUCUGGGCACUGUCUCAACGAGAGACUCGGUGAAAUUAUAGUACCUGUGAAGAUGCAGGUUACCCGCGACAGGACGGAAAGACCCCGUGGAGCUUUACUGCAGCCUGAUAUUGAAUGUUGGUACAGCUUGUACAGGAUAGGUAGGAGCCUUGGAAACCGGAGCGCCAGCUUCGGUGGAGGCAUCGGUGGGAUACUACCCUGGCUGUAUUGACCUUCUAACCCGCCGCCCUUAUCGGGCGGGGAGACAGUGUCAGGUGGACAGUUUGACUGGGGCGGUCGCCUCCUAAAAGGUAACGGAGGCGCCCAAAGGUUCCCUCAGAAUGGUUGGAAAUCAUUCGCAGAGUGUAAAGGCACAAGGGAGCUUGACUGCGAGACCUACAAGUCGAGCAGGGACGAAAGUCGGGCUUAGUGAUCCGGUGGUUCCGCAUGGAAGGGCCAUCGCUCAACGGAUAAAAGCUACCCCGGGGAUAACAGGCUUAUCUCCCCAAGAGUCCACAUCGACGGGGAGGUUUGGCACCUCGAUGUCGGCUCAUCGCAUCCUGGGGCUGUAGUCGGUCCCAAGGGUUGGGCUGUUCGCCCAUUAAAGCGGUACGCGAGCUGGGUUCAGAACGUCGUGAGACAGUUCGGUCCCUAUCCGUCGCGGGCGCAGGAAAUUUGAGAGGAGCUGUCCUUAGUACGAGAGGACCGGGAUGGACGCACCGCUGGUGUACCAGUUGUUCUGCCAAGGGCAUCGCUGGGUAGCUAUGUGCGGACGGGAUAAGUGCUGAAAGCAUCUAAGCAUGAAGCCCCCCUCAAGAUGAGAUUUCCCAUUCCGCAAGGAAGUAAGAUCCCUGAAAGAUGAUCAGGUUGAUAGGUCUGAGGUGGAAGUGUGGCGACACAUGGAGCUGACAGAUACUAAUCGAUCGAGGACUUAACCAAUUU
rnacentral:rRNA from 1 species